AAGAAUUUUGGUUUGGAUACAAUGGACAAAGUGGAAAUCAUACCGGAAAGACUGUUUACCGCUUGACUGCUGUCCCAAUCUAACUAAGUCGGUUAAAAAAGAAGGGACUGCGCUGGAAACAUGAGUGGAUUAAAAGGAUCAGCCCUUUUUGAAUUAAUAGUCGAAGUGGUAACCAGCUAGAAGUCGUAACCUGCUCGUAUGAAAUUGUUAAUUUUAUUCAACAACGCCAAGAAACAGAGCUCGCUCAAGAAACAGAAAA